rnacentral:lncRNA from 1 species
UACGCACAACACUAGAAGUUUUUCCUUAACUUCAUGCACCGUUUCACCGCGCUCAGGUGACAUAUAUACCGUAAAACGGGCUCUUACGGUAUUAAGCUAUUACUGAGGCUGGAUUGUGGAACUUUCAAUUUAAUUUGGAUAAAACCAAAGAGAAAAUGGACAAAAAAGAGCUUAGAGAGAGAAUGGGUUCGAAUCAACAUUUUCAUCCUGAAAAGAAUCCCUGUAACAGUAAGUUGCCUAAGCAGCACUGGUGGAACGUUCCGAGGGCAUCACAGCCACUGCAGAUUGGCCGGCAGAGAUCUUCGACAUUGGAAGAUUCGUCAUCGUCUCCUGUCGGAUCGCCGGCGUCGUCCUCGCCGUUCAUGCCGUCGUCACCUGUCGGAUCGCCGGCAACUUUACCCAAGCACCCGCAUUUACAUUUUGAUUUCGAGAAACAACGCGCCAGAGCUUUCUCAGCAGACGACCACAAGGAUAGUGUGCUGACAUAGAAAAAAGACUUAUUAUUUGUGCUAACAAAGACAUGAAAUAAGUAUAAUUAUAUUUGUCGAGGUAGCUACAAAAACAAUGGAAAAAGUAACAUAUUAGAUGCAAGUACUUGCUUUAAGUUAUUUCUGUUUACAGCAGUGAAAUAUCUACAAGUAUGUCAGACAUAUGUGUACCGUAUCCGAACCAAAUAAAAACUAGUAUGCUUCUUACAAUAUGUUGAAUAUU